GUUUGAUCCUGGCUCAAGAUGAACGUUUGCGGUGUGCCUAAUACAUGCAAGUCGAACGGUGACUAUUUUGUAGCAAUACGAAUGAAAUCAUAGUGGCGAACGGGUGAGUAACGCGUUGGUGAUCUGCCUCGAAGUGUGGAAUAACUUCCCGAAAGGGUAGCUAAUACCGCAUACUCUCUCAAGGUUUAAAAAAUUGAGAGUAAAGGAUUUAUUCGCUUCGAGAGGAGCCUGCGUCCCAUCAGCUAGUUGGUAGGGUAAUAGCCUACCAAGGCAAUGACGGGUAGGGGACCUGAGAGGGUGGCCCCCCACAAUGGAACUGAAACACGGUCCAUACACCUACGGGUGGCAGCAGUAGGGAAUAUUAGAAAUGGGCGAAAGCCUGAUCUAGCAACACCGCGUGUGCGAUGAAGGCCUUCGGGUUGUAAAGCACUUUUUGGAGGGAAUAGGAAGGAAGGUACCUCCAGAAUAAGUCUCGGCUAACUACGUGCCAGCAGCCGCGGUAACACGUAGGAGGCAAACGUUAUCCGGAUUCACUGGGCGUAAAGCGCGUGUAGGUGGUUCUGUAAGUAGGGCGUGAAAGCUCCCGGCUCAACUGGGAGAGGCCGUACUAAACUGCAGAGCUAGAGGAUGGUAGAGGGAGGUGGAAUUCCAGGUGUAGUGGUGAAAUGCGCAGAUAUCUGGAGGAACACCAGUGGCGAAGGCGGCCUCCUGGACCAUUCCUGACACUCAGACGCGAAAGCUAGGGUAGCAAACGGAAUUAGAGACUCCGGUAGUCCUAGCCCUAAACGAUGCAGACUAGGCGUCGGCGGUUUAAUCACCGUCGGUGUCCAAGCUAACGCGAUAAGUCUGCCGCCUGAGGACUACGGCCGCAAGGCUAAAACUCAAAGGAAUUGACGGGUCCCCGCACAAGCAGCGGAGCGUGUGGUUUAAUUCGAUGCUCCGCGAAGAACCUUACCUGGGUUUGACAUAACAGUGGUAGAGAAGUGAAAACGGAUCGACCCUUCGGGGAGCUGUUACAGGUGUUGCAUGCCUGUCGUCAGCUCGUGUCGUGAGAUGUUCGGUUAAGUCCCGCAACGAGCGCAACCCUUAUUGUUAGUUGCCAUCAUUAAGUUGGGCACUCUAGCGAGACUGCCCGGGUUAACCGGGAGGAAGGUGGGGAUGACGUCAAAUCAUCAUGCCCCUUAUGUCUAGGGCUACACACGUGCUACAAUGGUCAGUACAAUAAGACGCAAGCCCGCGAGGGGGAGCAAAACUGGAAAACCGAUCUCAGUUCGGAUUGUAGGCUGAAACUCGCCUACAUGAAGCUGGAGUUGCUAGUAAUCGCGAAUCAGCAUGUCGCGGUGAAUACGUUCCCGGGCCUUGUACACACCGCCCGUCA
rnacentral:rRNA from 1 species